GGUAUCGUGGCCGAGUGGUUAAGGCGACAGACUUGAACGAAUGAGAUCUCCUCAUUUCUAGAUAUCUGUUGGGUUCGCCCGCGCAGGUUCGAACCCUGUCGAUGCCG